CAUCGCACGUGGAAAUUUAAUUACCCAAUUAUUGACCCGCAAACACGUCGACUUUCCGCCGAAAAGCGUAGGAAAAUUUCGAAAAACCAAAGUUUUUUAUAUUCCUUGCGAACUUUUUCAAUUGAAAUGUGAUUUAUUUAUAAUGGCGAACAUUUAAAAUUAAAUUCGUUUAAAAAUAGAUUCGACCGAUUCGGCUAAAUAAACGAAAAAGUCGAUUUAUGACGGGAUUCCUUCGCAGCAACGCCAGCCAUUCGGGCUAAUUUGUAAAUGGCAACUAAUUUGGCCCACAAACAAACAGCGAAUGGAAAUUAAGCUCAAAACUCGAUGCUGAAUGGAUAGUUCUUGCUCUUGAUGGCAUGGGUCAUGGGGAUCAGACGUUCGCCAGUGUGAUACGAAUCCAAAACGGCAUGAUCCUCAGCAUCCAACUUAAAGUCGAAGAUCUUGAUGUUCUCCUCGAUGCGCUUGGGAUUGGAGGACUUUGGCAAUGGGAUGGUUCCAAUCUCAAUCUGGUUGGACAAAUAUUAUCAUAGAUAAAUGUAUGUUGCAUAUAAAUAAAUCUCUUUUCAAAUCCCUA